rnacentral:rRNA from 1 species
UGGGGAAUCUUCCGCAAUGGACGAAAGUCUGACGGAGCAACGCCGCGUGAGUGAUGACGGCCUUCGGGUUGUAAAACUCUGUUAUACGGGACGAAUGGACGAGAGGCCAAUACCCUUUCGGAGUGACGGUACCGUAAGAGAAAGCCACGGCUAACUACGUGCCAGCAGCCGCGGUAAUACGUAGGUGGCAAGCGUUGUCCGGAAUUAUUGGGCGUAAAGGGCGCGCAGGUGGUUUCUUAAGUCUGUCUUAAAAGUGCGGGGCUUAACCCCGUGAGGGGACGGAAACUGGGAGACUAGAGUAUCGGAGAGGAAAGCGGAAUUCCUAGUGUAGCGGUGAAAUGCGUAGAUAUUAGGAGGAACACCAGUGGCGAAAGCGGCUUUCUGGACGACAACUGACACUGAGGCGCGAAAGCCAGGGGAGCAAACG